UUUCGAUGAUAUCGUGUUACUUCGUACGCUUGUGCGCGCAUCCGGCGAAUUUGUAUUUGAUUGAUACUAUUCGCGUGACGGAAAUGCAAGGUGAUAAUGACGACUUAUGAUGAGAAGACUGGUGCGGAUUACCAAUGAUUUUGCAUAAUUUCCGCCAUUUUAUUAUCGAUUGGAUGAAUGGUCUUUCAAUUGAAUAGUAGAUCAAAAUUGAUCAUCCAUAUCACGAACGCGUGAUAAAUAAAGUGUGUGGAAACAAAAAAUGUACAAAAGUAACGUGAUGAAGAAAACUGCAUCCGAUUCAUCAUUUCAAAAGCUUGCGAGACACAGCUUGCAUGAUGAUCGUGGGGAUAUCAACAUUAUCAAUGGUGAAUUUCUCGUUGACCGAGAUCCAAAUGGAAAUCCUUGGCAUCCUGCCGUCUCUAACGUGAUUAAUUAAAGUCGCGCUAAACAAGAUGUAUCGAGGUAUGUAAUUUUUACACUGUCACGAUUUAAGCAUGUCGAAGAUAAUGCUAACAAUUUCUGUUAUCAACAUAAACCGCACAAAAUUCAACGAAAUAAUAAAAAAUGUCUUUAUAUAUGCCAAGUAUUAGGAGAUAUUUCAAUCGUCGAAUCGUCUUUUAUAAGAUAAUUAGACUAUUUCUGUUCUACUUUAAAUUGUUCAUGAAUAUGAUAUAAUGAAUGUCGUAUUUGCAAAUAUUUUGAUUGUAAA